rnacentral:rRNA from 1 species
CUGAUGGGAAUCACGUUAAUAUUCGUGAACCAGAUGGUAGUGACGGAUCGCGCAGGUUCGUAUCCCCUUAUUGGAUUGGGGGUGCGAUGAGCCGGUUCCAGGAAAUAGCUCCAUCGACAUUGACCGUACCCUAAACCGACACAGGUGGACUGGUAGAGUAUACCAAGGCGCUUGAGAGAACUAUACUGAAGGAACUCGGCAAAUUGCAUGCGUAACUUCGGGAUAAGCAUGACUUCUAUCGGGGCAACCCUUUAGGAGUGGCACAAAAGAGGGGGUGGCGACUGUUUACUAAAAACACAGGGCUCUGCGAAGUUGCAAAACGACGUAUAGGGUCUGACGCCUGCCCGGUGCCGGAAGGUUAAAAGGAGAGGUGCAAGCUUUGAAUUGAAGCCCCGGUAAACGGCGGCCGUAACUAUAACGGUCCUAAGGUAGCAAAAUUCCUUGUCGGGUAAGUUCCGACCUGCACGAAUGGCGUAACGACUUCCCCACUGUCUCCAGUAUAGACUCAGCGAAAUUGAAUUCCCCGUGAAGAUGCGGGGUUCCUGCGGUCAGACGGAAAGACCCCAUGCACCUUUACUAUAGCUUUACGCUGGCAUUUGUGUCGGCAUGUGCAGGAUAGGUGGUAGGCUUUGAAGCCGGGACGCUAGUUUCGGUGGAGCCAAAAGAUAAGAUACCACCCUUAUCGUCAUAGAUGUCUAACCGCGGCAUAACAGUGUCCGGGACAGCGUAUGGUGGGUAGUUUGACUGGGGCGGUCGCCUCCCAAAGAGUAACGGAGGCGCGCGAUGGUGGGCUCAGAACGGUCGGAAAUCGUUCGACGAGUGCAAUGGCAUAAGCCUGCCUGACUGCGAGACCGACAGGUCGAGCAGAGACGAAAGUCGGUCAUAGUGAUCCGGUGGUCCCGCGUGGAAGGGCCAUCGCUCAACGAAUAAAAGGUACGCUGGGGAUAACAGGCUGAUGAUGCCCAAGAGUCCAUAUCGACGGCAUCGUUUGGCACCUCGAUGUCGGCUCAUCACAUCCUGGGGCUGGAGCAGGUCCCAAGGGUAUGGCUGUUCGCCAUUUAAAGUGGUACGUGAGCUGGGUUUAGAACGUCGUGAGACAGUUCGGUCCCUAUCUGCCGUGGGUGUAGGAAUAUUGAGAAGAGCUGACCCUAGUACGAGAGGACCGGAUUGGACGAAUCUCUGGUGGACCUGUUGUGGCGCCAGCCGCAUUGCAGGGUAGCUAAAUUCGGACGGGAUAACUGCUGAAAGCAUCUAAGCAGGAAGCCUCCUUCAAAACUAGUAUUCCCUUGAGAGCCGUGGAAGACCACCACGUCGAUAGGCCGGGUGUGGAAGCGUAGCAAUAUGUGAAGCUUACCGGUACUAAUAGCUU